rnacentral:rRNA from 1 species
AUACGGAGGGUGCAAACGUUGUUCGGAAUCACUGGGCGUAAAGGGCGCGCAGGCGGUUUGAUUAGUCAGAUGUGAAAGCCCACGGCUUAACCGUGGAAGUGCAUUUGAAACUGUCAGACUCGAGUACCAGAGGGGGUAGUGGAAUUCCCGGUGUAGAGGUGAAAUUCGUAGAUAUCGGGAGGAAUACCGGUGGCGAAGGCGACUACCUGGCUGGAUACUGACGCUGAGGCGCGAAAGCGUGGGGAGCAAACAGGAUUAGAAACCCCAGUAGUCC